CAAUGUAAUAGUUGGGCCCACGAGGAAAGGCAGCAUAAUACGAAGUUCAUGUCUCCAAAAUAGGCAGCAGCAAACAGCCGCAUAACACUGCUACGACAAACUUCCAAAACAAUUAUCCGUAACGCCUGAAGUUUGCAUCUGCGCAACGUAACAUCUUCCUGUACUGUGCCACAAUUCGGAGUGAACACGUAGUUCGCUGCAAACAACUUUAGUAGCUAUGGUCUAUCCUACGAGAAUAGACACAAAGCGAAGUAAUUGAGAAAACCAUAAUUUUUUUCGACAAGGUUUAAUCUGUGAUAGGUUUAAUCAAAAUCAGUACUUUCA